CCUACGGGGGGCAGCAGUCGGGAAUAUUGCGCAAUGGAGGAAACUCUGACGCAGUGACGCCGCGUAUAGGACGAAGGUCUUCGGAUUGUAAACUAUUGUCGUUAGGGAAGAGAAAGGACAGUACCUAAGGAGGAAGCUCCGGCUAACUACGUGCCAGCAGCCGCGGUAAUACGUAGGGAGCAAGCGUUACUCGGAAUCACUGGGCGUAAAGAGCGCGUAGGCGGGAUAGCAAGUCAGAUGUGAAAUCCUAUGGCUUAACCAUAGAACUGCAUUUGAGACUGUUAUUCUAGAGUAUGGGAGAGGUA
rnacentral:rRNA from 1 species